UUCACACCACUCAAAGAAAUAGUAAAGAGUCAGCAAAUUGAUUUUUUUACAUAGUAUAGAAAUUAAUGCAAAUGCCUCAAAGGGAAGGAAACGCGUACUGACGCCUGAGGUUGUAUCGGCUGCAACUGGAAUUCGUAAUACAUGAAGGCAACAUUUGCACUUAUACAUGUGAAGGCUGUCUAACAUGCUACACAUAAUAUAUACAUACACACUUGCAGGGAACGUGUAUCCAGUUGGAAAUGAUCAUAACCGAGAUGGUGACGAUGAAUAAUUGGAUAUGCUGCUUCAAACGCUUACGAGCUCUUUGGAAUAUAUUCACAAUCAUCAUUUAGGGGAAAGGAUUUGUAAAAAAAAACACGCUCGAGUAAAUACAAGGUUAUGUUUUAAGUAUAACAAAGAGCUCACAUUCAUUUACUGGUGGGAGAAAAAGUAAUGCGUAAGAUCUCGAAAACCGCCCUCAUACCCUAGCAGGAGGUCGGCUAUGUGCUCAUGGAAACGAGCAUCCCAGGGAGGACUGGGCCCCGGCAACCUGUUACCAUGGAAACUGCAGAGCCUCACAGUUUCAUCUUGUCUAUUGAUUUAGUUUCCCGGUUUAUUGCUUAUUGAUCCUGCAUAUGAAACGUGCGCACACACACACACACACGCAUGCAAACACGAAGCAAGAUGACAAAAACCUGAUAGGAGUCCGGGUUCGUUAUAGAAGUUCUGUAGCAAAGUUUUUCAAAGGUGGUAUUGUAAUAUAUGUCUGUAAAACAACAUCCAACUAAUUUAUUGACACUUAGUAGCAGAAAAAAGAAUACAGCGCCGGGGGUCAGAGGUCAAAUAUUUGCGGACUUUCCCCGCAGCUUUAAGCCGAGGCCCUGCAAGAGAAAACUCCCACAGUCCUUUGCUGCGAACUCCUCCCCGCCCCUUCUCUUUCUAAGCCGCUCUCUCUCUCCCUCUGAUCACCUCUUGCAUCGGUAUGUCACAGGCAUGCCUGCUCUUAUCGCCGACAUACGCCACCCGGUGGCCACGUGAGCCACUGCAGCUCCGCUGUGCUGUCUGUUUAACAAAGUGCUCUGCUUGUACUUGUUUAUCCUGAAAAAGAUGCGGGGGAGGCAGCGGGAGGUGUAUGUGUGUGUGUGUGUGUGUGGGGUCACAACCAGGUAAGCUAAAGGUACGUGGGAGAUUCGUGAGAAAGGGUCGAGGGGUUUUUCAGGAUAAACAUCUGAGAUGCAACGCGGCCGACAGGUGCCUUCACUAACUGACGCAUGGGCCGCUAGUGGCGGCCGCACUGCGGGUUGUAGCAGCAUGGGUAGUUCUAUAGUGCUACAGCUGAGGGCAGAGUUGGUUUUUUGCAUUUCCAUUUGUAUUUGAAAUUUCUGUCUUCGUCAGAUGUGGUACCACCCUCUAACAACUCCAUCAGUGUAGUUCCGUUCACCCGUAGCGCUGCGGCGACUAGUUGUUUCUCUUCAACUCUCAGCUAUGCACACCUCAAAGGAAUUCCCACUGCCCUUAAAAGACAAGGAAUCACAAAACAUCCGCCAUCACCUCCUCACCACAUCUCUAAAAUUGCCUCAAACACCAGCCGCGUGUCACCGCCAUGUCAAGUCCCCGCUCACCCACCGGAUUGAAUAGUACGAGGAGAAAUAUUUCGGCGGGCUUUGUUCGGCAGCACUCGAAGGUACCGCGCGGAGCGUCCGACCACUAGGGGCGCCACGGAGCAGUGUUUCGGCGGUGCGCCAUCGCGCUGGAUGACGGCUGGCGGCUGGUCGUGUCGUGACGUGAAAGGAAAAACACGGAAGAAGAAGCCAUCGGGAACAAAUGCUUCUCAACGUGAUCGUUAGACCUCAAGGACACACGCUAAAACCAUGAGCAGAUACACCUGGGAGUGUAAGACCAAAGAGGAGUCCGACUGCGAGUUUCACGCUGACGGGAGGACAGAGGGCCCCUACCCCGUAACCA